rnacentral:lncRNA from 1 species
AUGUGGACAGAGUUCUGUGGGACUUCUCACACCCCAUCCUCGUCUUCCUUAAAGGAAAGAUUGCUAAUCAACCGAGCUACUGGAUUUAUCAGGGGAAAGGAAGAUUUUUCGUGCAAUAAUUCUGCUCUGGUGCUUCCCAGUGACUGUGGCAUGGCAUGGCUGUCUGCUGAGGAAUCCAAGCCCAGACUGGCCAAGUGGGGGUAAGAGUGAUUCCCACUGGACCAUGGAGGAACAGGCAGACACCCAUUAGCAUCAACCACUGGAACUGGACUGAGAGGAAUGCUUCAAACAAACCCACAGAGAAACUAAAAUUCCUACUUCUGGCAGUACAGAUACAAGAGAAGCAGGCAAUUUUUUAAAAAUUUUAUUAAUUUAUUUUGAUUUAUCAACAGUCACUUCCAUAUGCUUUUGAGUAGAAAAUUUUUCUCCCCUUUCCUCCCCCCACCAACCUCCCCAAGACGGCACACAAUCUGAUGUAGGCUUUACAUUUACAUACCCAUUAAACAUUUUCACAUUAGUGAAGUUGUAAGUAAAAAUUAAAACCAAUAGGAGGAACCAUCAGAAAGAUGAAACAAAACUCAACAGAAGGUAAAAAUAAGUGAUAGCGAUUCGACUUCCAUAGUUCUUUCUUUGGAUGUGGACAGCAUUUUCCAUUCCGAGGCUUCUGGAGAUGUCUUAGAUCCUCGUAAUGCUGAGAAGGGUUCAGUUUAACAAUAUUAGUCAUUGCAUAAUGUGGCUGUUAUUGUGUACAAAGUCCUCUUGGUUCUGCUCACUUCACUCAGCAUCAGACCAUGUAAGUCUCCAGGUUUUUCUGAAGUCAGCCUGUUCAUCAUUUCUUGUAGCACAAUAGUAUUCCAUUACAUUCAUAUACCACAACUUGCUCAGCCAUUCCCCAGUUGAUGGGCAUCCUCUCAAUUUCCAGUUCUUUGCCACCACAAAAAGAGCUGCUAUGAAUAUUUUUGUACAUGUGGGUCCUUUUCCCAUUUGUUUGAUCUCUUUGGGAUAUAGCCCGAGAAGUGCUAUAAGCAGGCAAUUUUUUUAAGGUGAGAGAGAAAUUAGCAAGCUCAAGGAGCAGGCAUCAAUCAGUGAUCACAAAGGACUUACUUUUUUUCUAUCAGCAUCAAACUUAGCUGGACAGAUACUUCCAACUCAAGAGUAAAAUACAAGGAAAAUAUGAUGAUGUCCAACUUCUGGGAUGAAAAUAACACAUAUGAAGUGAAGGUUAGUAUGAGCCUAACAUCACCUAAUAUGAAGCAAGAAAGUAUGACAAAGACUGAGCUACAGUGAGAACCUCUAUCAAAACUUUUAAAAGCAAAGCAUGGUCUUAGCUGCAGAAUGGUGAGUUAAUGGAUCUAGAUCCACAAUUGCUAAGAGAAAACUCAGGAGUCCAGAGUUAAAUCUGGUACUUUAAAAAGUCAAUCCAAACUCAGGGGUGUGAAAAUCCCCACCUGCAAUAUCUUUCUGAAAGACACUUUCCUAACUUCACUGGAGGGGCUCUCGAGGGUAGAGGAUCAAACACUCAAGUGCCCAUUAGAUUUGUAGUAGGUGGCCUGCAAAACUCCCAAUAGAAUAAAAUAUAAUUGGGAAAUGUUUAACA